rnacentral:misc_RNA from 1 species
ACACCUCAACUCUCACGGUUCGCCGUGAUGAGCUUGGACUUUGGGGGUCUUGCUGGCCUGUUGUCGGCUCCUCUCAAAUGAAUCAGCUUUCCAGUGUUUGGUGGAAUCACGGGUGUGAUAACUAUCUACGCUCGUGGUUUUCUGCCAGGUGUGCGACCUUCAGCGAUGGGGGUUCGCUGGGGCUAAUAAACGUCUCCCUCCAGCGGAGACAGCUUUGUGAAC